rnacentral:rRNA from 1 species
AUGCUGCUUGUGGACAAGCAGGUGGCAGCGGACCCAAGGCAUGAUAGCGCGUUGGAGGUGCUUGCGGUGAUGCCACCUGGCGUGGCCUUGGCGGUGGAAGCCAUGCAGCCAGCGGAUGGUCACGCGUCGGUCGGGGCCCAGCCUGAUGGGAGUCAUGCAAGCGUUGCAUGUGACCCUGUUCACGUAGCUGUGCCUCUGAGUGUGCAUGCAGAAAGAGAAAGGUUUGCCGAGGGGCCUGUGGCAGAGGGCGCCAAAGAGACGUGCCUGGAGAUGGUAGUGACCAACGACCCAGCCAAUGGACUGACACCCAAGGAGGUGGAGAUGUACGCGAAACUCAAGGCUUUCUGCUCUUGCAUUGUGAAGAAGCUAGCACCACCAAUUCUCAAGAAAGUCCAGGCUUCCAACUUGCGGCUUGAAGCAGAACCAUUCACCCCCAAAAGAACCACUCGGGCAACCAAGAAAUCGACUCAACAGAACACGCAAAGAGCCACACCUGCGGAGAAUGUGCUCCUGCGCACAUUGGGAAUUGUGCCGGAAGACCUGGAGGUGACGGACACGGCUGUGCAAGAGCUCAAGUCGCUCUUCGACUCUCCUCUACGCGAGCAGCACGUACGGGUGAUUGCAGCCCUGUUUGGCAAGGCUUUGCCUGGGCAGCUUUCUGGAGCUAGUACCGGAGCGACGGAGGGAAUCGGCGCACACUGA